rnacentral:lncRNA from 1 species
GUUCCUUACGUCGUAACUACAAUCCCCUUCCCUUUCAUGAAUGUGACCUACCGAAUUAGACUAUUUAGCGGAUUUGUUAUCACAUAAGCAACACGACGAGUGCCACAUGUGGAGCAGGAUCUGCUUAUCCGUCCGGAGCACCUGAGAUCACCCCUAGUUUUUGGUGGGGUUCGUGUUGUUUAUUCUUUAGUUUUCUAUGUUGUGUCAUGUGUACUAUUGUUUGUCUGUUUGUCCUUUUUAUUUUUAGUCAUGGCGUUGUCAGUUUA